rnacentral:rRNA from 1 species
UGGGGAAUUUUGGACAAUGGGCGAAAGCCUGAUCCAGCAAUGCCGCGUGUGUGAAGAAGGCCUUCGGGUUGUAAAGCACUUUUGUCCGGAAAGAAAUCCUUGGCUCUAAUACAGUCGGGGGAUGACGGUACCGGAAGAAUAAGCACCGGCUAACUACGUGCCAGCAGCCGCGGUAAUACGUAGGGUGCAAGCGUUAAUCGGAAUUACUGGGCGUAAAGCGUGCGCAGGCGGUUUGCUAAGACCGAUGUGAAAUCCCCGGGCUCAACCUGGGAACUGCAUUGGUGACUGGCAGGCUAGAGUAUGGCAGAGGGGGGUAGAAUUCCACGUGUAGCAGUGAAAUGCGUAGAGAUGUGGAGGAAUACCGAUGGCGAAGGCAGCCCCCUGGGCCAAUACUGAUGCUCAUGCACGAAAGCGUGGGGAGCAAACAGGAUUAGAUACCCUGGUAGUCCACGCCCUAAACGAUGUCAACUAGUUGUUGGGGAUUCAUUUCCUUAGUAACGUAGCUAACGCGUGAAGUUGACCGCCUGGGGGAGUACGGUCGCAAGAUUAAAACUUAAAUGAAUUGACGGGGUCAUAGCUGUUU